CCUACGGGUGGCAGCAGUGGGGAAUAUUGGACAAUGGGCGAAAGCCUGAUCCAGCCAUGCCGCGUGUGUGAAGAAGGCCUUCGGGUUGUAAAGCACUUUCAGUGGGGAAGAAAGCCUUGGGGCUAAUACCCUCGAGGAAGGACAUCACCCACAGAAGAAGCACCGGCUAACUCCGUGCCAGCAGCCGCGGUAAUACGGAGGGUGCGAGCGUUAAUCGGAAUUACUGGGCGUAAAGCGCGCGUAGGCGGUCUGAUAAGCCGGUUGUGAAAGCCCCGGGCUCAACCUGGGAACGGCAUCCGGAACUGUCAGGCUAGAGUGCAGGAGAGGAAGGUAGAAUUCCCGGUGUAGCGGUGAAAUGCGCAGAGAUCGGGAGGAAUACCAGUGGCGAAGGCGGCCUUCUGGACUGACACUGACGCUGAGGUGCGAAAGCGUGGGUAGCAAACAGGAUUAGAUACCCUAGUAGUC
rnacentral:rRNA from 1 species